UAAAAAAGACUUUGAAAACUUCAAAAGAUCAAGUGUUGCACUCACUCUGAAAAUGAGACACUGUACUGUCCACUUAAAUUACGUUAUCAUCCACUAUUUCCAUUCAUUCAACAAAAACAGGCAAAAGAAAAGGAAACUCUUCCCCUGUCCGUUCUCUGUUCGUUUCGUUUCUACAACUCCAUACACACAAGUAGCAGGUUUAAUUAUGCACUUGAAGUGUUCAAUAAAAUGCCUAGAAGAUGCAAGAUCUAUAUAUCUGCUCUGGCUUAUAAGACAGUUGGUAGCUAUUCAAGCCUCCUAAGAUUUCCUAUCUCCUCUCACAUUGUUUUUCCAAUAGCAAUCCACUGUUAGUUUUUUUGCUCUCUCUGAUUUUAUUUAUUUUUAUUUUUUUCAGUAAAUUUGUAAUUAUUUUUGGCUAAUCCAAAGUCCGUUUGGCUGUGCAUUUGAUCUGAACUUGAUGUGGUUUUUCAUGUGAUUAAGUUUCAAUCAAAUGAGAAACCAGUUAGUAAGAUGUAAUGACAUAACUAUUUGCACAUUUAAUAAGUAGCACUGAUCAAUUUGUUUGUGGAUUAGUGAACUCAAGAAAACCAGUUAGUGAGAUGUAAUGAAUUGUCUAACCAUGCAAAGUCUCUUCUAACAACUUGGUGCAGGGUUGCAUCUAAAAGAAAAAUCGAAAAUGGUUGCUCUUGAUGUUGUUAAUAAGGAAGCUAUUAAUCUAGCAUGUUCUUUUAAAAAUUAUACUCUGUUAUCAUCUUACGACAUGCCAACUUUAUCUUAAUGAAUGUUCCAGUUAAUGAAUAUUCUUUGUGAAAAUUCAUAGCUGCAAAUAUUAGAAUAAUAAAUGUUAUUAGCUUUCAUAGUUUACUUAAAAAAAGAAAAAAAGAAAAGAAAAAAAAAAAGAAGCUUCAUAGUUAGAUGAUGGAGUUUAGUGGGCUCAAUUGAUACUUUAGUAGAAUAUAUUUUGUUCUGCCACAAACAACCAUUUUUUUUAUCCUUUAUUUUGUGUGGAAUUACAAUCAAUUGGAAGAAAUUAGAUCUUUCAUGUUUAAUUCAAGUAGGUAUGAAUACUUUGAUUUGCCUAGAAUCAAGAAGCAUGAAAUGGAUGGAAAUGCAAAGAAAUUUUCAUUACUUUAUCUUAUUUGAUUGGUGCUAAAUUAGAAUUUGCUUCAUGUUGGAAAUCUAAUCCCUAAAGAAGUUUUUGAGUAUCUUAAUUGUACAAGAAUGGAUUUGACCUUUGAUCAAUUGAUCUUAUGCAAUUCAAGAAAGAUAGGAUUUGUUUAGAUACAAACUUGAGGAGGAAAAUGUUAGUAAAGAAAUGUUUAAAUUUUAUAUUCAACCCUUCUUUUUUAUUUUGCCAUUAUUGCUUGCUCAAUCUCCCUCAUUGAUUGGUUCUUCUAUUCCUUGAAAACAACUUUUUGUUGCUCUUUGGGACCACGAUUUAACUUUUCCUGAGGUGAAAUGCAAAUUAUAUUGAAAUGAAAAUUUCCAUCCAUAAUAAGUGGAAGCAUACAAGCAUAAACAAAUUAUUUUUGUAUUUAUUUGUAUAUGAGUUUCAUUGUUAUAUUAUUACAAUUUUAACGUUGAAUUUGUUGUAUGAACCUAUGGUAUAACCUCAAGUUACUAUUAAUAUUUAGUCAUUUGUUCA